rnacentral:rRNA from 1 species
AGGAGAAUCAUUCACAAUGGGCGCAAGCCUGAUGGUGCGACGCCGCGUGCGGGAUGAAGGCCUUCGGGUCGUAAACCGCUGUCGGGAGCUAGGAAUGUCCGGGGGGUCAAUACCCCCUCGGAGUGACUGGGCUCCAACGGAAGCUCCGGCUAACUACGUGCCAGCAGCCGCGGUAAUACGUAGGGAGCGAGCGUUACUCGUAAUCACUGGGCAUAAAGGGCGUGUAGGCGGGUGCGCAAGUCCGAUGUGAAAUCCACCGGCUCACCCGGUGAAGUGCAUUGGAUACUGCGUGUCUGGAGUGUGGGAGAGGAGAGCGGAACUCUUGGUGGAGCGGUGAAAUGCGUAGAUAUCAAGAGGAACGCCGGUGGCGAAAGCGGCUCUCUGGCCCAUUACUGACGCUGAGGCGCGAAAGCUAGGGGAGCAAACG